rnacentral:rRNA from 1 species
GACGAACGCUGGCGGCGUGCUUAACACAUGCAAGUCGAACGGGCUCUGUCUGGCUGUGUGCUGGGUGGGGUUAGUGGCGAACGGGUGAGUAAUACGUGAGUAACCUGCCCUCUUCUUUGGGAUAAGCCUUGGAAACGGGGUCUAAUACUGGAUAUUCCUGUCUGGUCGCAUGGCUGGGUGGGGAAAGUUUUUUUCGGUGGGGGAUGGGCUCGCGGCCUAUCAGCUUGUUGGUGGGGUGAUGGCCUACCAAGGCGUCGACGGGUAGCCGGCCUGAGAGGGUGACCGGCCACACUGGGACUGAGAAACGGCCCAGACUCCGACGGGAGGCAGCAGUGGGGGAGAUUGCACAAUGGGCGCAAGCCUGAUGCAGCGACGCCGCGUGGGGGAUGACGGCUUUCGGGUUGUAAACCUCUUUCGUCGGGGGACAAGGCUCUGCUUGGUGGUGGGGUUGAGGGUACCCGGUGAAGAAGCGCCGGCUAACUACGUG